AGCGAACGCUGGCGGCAGGCCUAACACAUGCAAGUCGAACGAACCCUUCGGGGUUAGUGGCGGACGGGUGAGUAACACGUGGGAACGUGCCUUUAGGUUCGGAAUAACUCAGGGAAACUUGUGCUAAUACCGAAUGUGCCCUUCGGGGGAAAGAUUUAUCGCCUUUAGAGCGGCCCGCGUCUGAUUAGCUAGUUGGUGAGGUAACGGCUCACCAAGGCUACGAUCAGUAGCUGGUCUGAGAGGAUGACCAGCCACAUUGGGACUGAGACACGGCCCAAACUCCUACGGGAGGCAGCAGUGGGGAAUCUUGCGCAAUGGGCGAAAGCCUGACGCAGCCAUGCCGCGUGGGUGAUGAAGGUCUUAGGAUUGUAAAAUCCUUUCGCCGGUGAAGAUAAUGACUGUAGCCGGAGAAGAAGCCCCGGCUAACUUCGUGCCAGCCGCCGCCGUAAUAC
rnacentral:rRNA from 1 species